rnacentral:rRNA from 1 species
AUACAGAGGGUGCGAGCGUUAAUCGGAAUUACUGGGCGUAAAGCGCGCGUAGGCGGUUAUUUAAGUCAGAUGUGAAAUCCCUGGGCUCAACCUAGGAACUGCAUCUGAAACUGGGUAACUAGAGUUUAGGAGAGGGGAGUAGAAUUUCGGGUGUAGCGGUGAAAUGCAUAGAGAUCCGAAGGAAUACCAGUGGCGAAGGCGACUCCCUGGCCUAGAACUGACGCUGAGGUGCGAAAGCGUGGGUAGCAAACGGGAUUAGAUACCCCAGUAGUCC